rnacentral:sRNA from 1 species
AUGCAGGGUGUCUAGGGUUCCGCCUCCUCCUCCUCCCGAGGGUCUGGUCCGAGAGACGCCACCUGCCCGGCAAAUUCCGGACAGGUACACGGCGGGGCAAAAACCCGGGAGAG